rnacentral:tRNA from 1 species
GCGCCUGUAGCUCAGCUGGAUAGAGCAACGGACUUCUAAUCCGUUUGUCGGGGGUUCGAGUCCCUCCAGGUGCGCCA